rnacentral:sRNA from 2 species
CGCUCAGUCAUUGGGGAGUAGCCUUUCCCGGCCAGCCCGGGAAGUCCACGUCAACAAACUUGAGGCCUCACGCCUCAUGGCGUGGUCAGCUUGUAUUGCGCUUAACCGCAAGGCAAGUCAGGCAAGACCUUUGGCCGCGAUGCGUUUGCCAGCCGGGCAAGCC